GUGCACCGCGGGUACAGACUAACUAAAAAGUCACAAUUGUCCAAACGGAACACCGUACACUUCAGUUUAUCGCUGUAAAGAAAAAUUAUCUACAGUGAAACUGUAUGAUUAUUCUGACAGUAAAGGUUUAUAUUCCUUAUAACUAGACCUAUUUCUUUACACACCUGUUUUCAACUUGGCUCAUUAACAUUCAAUUUGGGAAAGAUUGAAAUAUUUAAAAGAUUGGACAAUGACUUCCAUGGAAGAAUUCAAUGAGGAGGCCUUGGCUGAAUUUGAGAACAGACGUCUUCGAAACCAGAAUACAAUGCCAGAGAGAACACAAUUCAUAGAGGGUAAGUGUAUAUAUAGCAAUUAUUAUUUCAACCAGCUUUAUUUUUUACUUUUCUGUGAUUAUGAUUGAUUUCAAUAUAAUUUUGUUCAUUUUUCAUUUAUAUUAGCUGAAAUUUUAUAAAUCAUUUAAUCACCGUGGGUAAGCAACUUUGGUCACGUGACCACAAAAGUCAACGUACACGCCAAAAAUACCUCGGCUGAGGUAAGUUUUCUAUUGAUUAUUUUUCUGUCUAGCCGAUUUAAAUUAUGCUACAUAGCCUACCGACCGCGGCAGUUCCGAUGCUUUCUAAAAUGUAUUUAGUUUCGUCUAACGUUUUGUAUUUUUUGAGAACAUUCAAACAAUAUUUGCAAAUUGUCGAUGACAACGUACACACUAUUGUGUGUAGCCGGCCGGAUAGCUCAGUUGGUCUUCUGACAGUCAUGGGUUCGAAUCAUGGUCAGGCAGUUUCAGGCAGGGCUUAAAAGUGGUUUUUCAACUGACACAUGUUUGAUUCAUUUAACAGAUUGUAUUAAAUUUGAAAUGGACAAAGGCAGUAUUGUAUGAUACUUUUAGAUCUACAAAAGGCAUUUGAUACAGUUGAUCACACUCUGUCCAGGCAUUUGCUGUUUAUCAUACUCUAUACAUCAGUGCAGAUAUCCUAUUCGCUACAAAUAGUUUUUUUUCAAGUUGGUCAUUCAAUUUGAGCAAAUUCGACGAUAUAAUGUUCAAAUAUACGAUAUAGUUUAAAAUAGUAUGUAGCUGUAAACUUUUUGCAAUUUUUCUUUUCUUACAUGAAUGUCUAAAUUUACAAAGUGGUCAUAAAGACGUCAUUGUGAUUUUAUCUUUUAAAUUGAAGGACAUGAACUGUCUGUUUUUGUGCAUUUAUACCCCACUUAGAGAGCCAAUGUUAUUUAAUACACUACGGUCUAUUGACAUGAAUGAUAUCUAUAGAAAUCAAUCUUUGUUCAAUUUGCAUGCCUGAAAAACAUAUUAUCAUAUUAUACGACGGAUCGUGAGAUUGAAAGCGUGAACGAAGGCUCAUAUCAUUGUAUUGUUUUUUCGUAUUUCCUUAUCACAUUACCAAUGACCUUAUAAUUGUAAUAUAAAUUCUUAUAAUCAAAUAUGUCAAAGAAUAUUUAAAUUUUUCUUAUGGGCAAUACUGAGUAUCUCCUACAUUCUGACCCAGAACAAAAGUAUGCCAGAAUCAAACUGAGCGCGUCAAAAUAUCUUGAUUAAAACGGAAUGAUAGAGUAUAAUAUUAUCAAGUAUUUUUGUUGGCUUUAUCUGUUGACCACAUACAAUUAAGGUUUUAGGCAAGAAAUGAAAUAUUAUUUCUAUAUUCAUGGCUGGACGCCGAUUCCAAGCAUUUUUGGAA